rnacentral:rRNA from 1 species
UACGGAGGGAGCUAGCGUUGUUCGGAAUUACUGGGCGUAAAGCGCACGUAGGCGGCUUUGUAAGUUAGAGGUGAAAGCCCGGAGCUCAACUCCGGAAUAGCCUUUAAGACUGCAUCGCUAGAACGUUGGAGAGGUAAGUGGAAUUCCGAGUGUAGAGGUGAAAUUCGUAGAUAUUCGGAAGAACACCAGUGGCGAAGGCGACUUACUGGACAACUGUUGACGCUGAGGUGCGAAAGCGUGGGGAGUAAACAGG